CCAAACCAUUUGUACUAUCACUUCAAGAGUCAAUCGUAUUUCUUUACAGACACUUUUGAAAGUAAGGUUGGAGACAAGAGAUCAAGGUAGCGCGCCAUGCCUGUGUAUAUGGUCAUCUUAGCGGCCAUAUGUGCUGUCUGGCUGCAAGGGGCAGACGGGGGCUCCUAUCAUUAUUCUGUCUACUGGGAUACAGUCCGCUAUAACGGCACUGCUGGCAACUACCGAGAUGUUAUCAGGACAUACUGUAAGAUGCCGAGCAACCCGAGGGUCACUAUGAUGCCACGGCAUGGAAGCAUCUUGAAGGAUAUGUACUGUCGCAGUCAUGAAUGCCAAAGGCAUGGCUUGACGCAGACCUGGGAUGAUCCACCAAUUUACCAACCCAGCAACCUCUACUGCGAAUGGGGGCAUGACGCCGACUGUGUCCCCGAAAAUGUGUGCAUGUGGUGGCCAUGGCGCAAAUAGGCCCCUACCUGAGGCGCCAUGCACAGCCUUGUGGUGGUCUCGACUGUGUGGACUCAUAUUAAA